UGCUGUAUGGUGUAGUGGUUUGAGCAUUGGACUAUAUCUCUAGAGAUCAGGGUUCAAUUUCCUGCUUGGCCG